rnacentral:rRNA from 1 species
GAUGAACGCUGGCGGCGUGCCUAAUACAUGCAAGUCGAGCGAAUGGAUUUAGAGCUUGCUCUUAUGAAGUUAGCGGCGGACGGGUGAGUAACACGUGGGUAACCUGCCCAUAAGACUGGGAUAACUCCGGGAAACCGGGGCUAAUACCGGAUAACAUUUUGAACCGCAUGGUUCGAAAUUGAAAGGCGGCUUCGGCUGUCACUUAUGGAUGGACCCGCGUCGCAUUAGCUAGUUGGUGAGGUAACGGCUCACCAAGGCAACGAUGCGUAGCCGACCUGAGAGGGUGAUCGGCCACACUGGGACUGAGACACGGCCCAGACUCCUACGGGAGGCAGCAGCAGGGAAUCUUCCGCAAUGGACGAAAGUCUGACGGAGCAACGCCGCGUGAGUGAUGAAGGCUUUCGGGUCGUAAAACUCUGUUGUUAGGGAAGAACAAGUGCUAGUUGAAUAAGCUGGCACCUUGACGGUACCUAACCAGAAAGCCACGGCUAACUACGUGCCAGCCGCCGCUGUAA